GGCCUGGUGGUGUAAUGGUAGUAUACCCUACGACAGUAUACGGAGUGGCUCGUUCUGAGGAUGUUCCCUGUUCGACUCAGGGCCAGGCCA